rnacentral:lncRNA from 1 species
CUUUCUGGCUCUUGGAACGCUCGGCUCUGAGAGGCUCCAGGUUUCUCCGCCAGAGCUCCUGUCGCUCUGUCAGUUGCGCUGUGUUCCUCUCUAGUCACAAGAGCCUUGGGGAAGACAGUUGGAAGCUCAGACAUGAGAAAUAUGAUUCCACAGGACAAUGAAAACCCACCCCAACAGGGUGAAGCAAAUCAAAAUGAUUUCGCUCUUGUUGCCCAGGCUGGAGUACAGUGGCUCGAUCUCGGCCCACAGCUGCCUCUGCUUCCUGGGUUCAAGCAAUUCUUCUGCCUCAGCCUCCUGAGUAGCUGUGGUUACAGUUGGAGUCUUGCUCUGUCACCCAGGCUGGAGUGCAGUGGCGCAAUCUCAGCUUACGGCAAGCUCCGCCUCCCGGGUUCAUGCCAUUCUCCUGCCUCAGCCUCCCGAGUAGCUAGGACUACAGGCGCCCGCCACCACACCCGGCUAAUUUUUGUAUUUUUAGUAGAGACAAGGUUUCACCGUGUUAGCCAGGAUGGUCUCGAUCUCUUGACCUCGUGAUCUGCCCACCUCGGUCUCCCAAAGUGCUGGGAUGACAGGCGUGAGCCACCAUGUCCAGCUGUAACUUAGAACUAUUUAAAGAGGCAAAGGCAUAGGAGAAUAAAGGAAGGAAGAAGUAACUCGUGGAAUGUUGCGAAAGGAAAAACACGUUUAAGGAAGAGGAACAGGCUAUGACUUAAUGUUUGCUUGGACCAGUAUAAGCAUGCCAGGGCAAGUAUUUAGGCUAACUUGUGGGAGUUAAGAAUAUAAAGUUGCCAAGACCAGCUUGGCUGGGGAGACGCUAACCCAGCAGCGCUAGAGGAAUUAAAGACACCACACACACCAAAAUAUAGAGGUGUGAAGGGGGAAAUCAGGGGUCUCACAGCCUUCAGAGCUGAGAGUCUUGAACAGAGAUUUAUCCACAUAUUUAUUAACAGCAAACCAGUCAUUAGCAUUGUUUCUAUAGAUAUUAAAUUAACUAAAAGUAUCCCUUAUGGGAAACAAAGGGAUGAGCCGAAUUAAAGGAAUAGGUUGGGCUAGUUAACUGCAGCAGGAGCAUGUCCUUAAGGCACAGAUAGCUCAUGCUACUAUUUGUGGCUUAAGAAUGCUUUUAAGCGGUUUUCCGCCCUGGGCGGGCCAGGUGUUCCUUGCCCUCAUUCUGGUAAACUCACAACCUUCCAGUGUGGGUGUUAGGGCCAUUAUGAACAUGUUACAGUGCUGCAGAGAUUUUGUUUAUGGCCAGUUUUGGGGCCAGUUUAUGGCCAGAUUUUGGGGGGCCUGCUCCCAACAUGUCCCCUUUCUUUGAUUUGCAAAUCAAUAAAAGCAAGGGCAGCUUUGUCACAGUGAGCUACUUCUCGCAGGAGUCAGGAUCCACGUCUGCAGACUAUACAAGGACAACACAGAUUAAAAGCACAGUCAUCAUUGAAAUCACAGAACUUCCAAGUGUUUUUAUCCAUUUUCAGCUCCUUUUAAGCACUCCAGUUCUGGCAUUAAGGUCAGCUGUGCCUGGGAUGCUUUAAAUAUUUGUUCUUUUAAUUUUAAAUCCUUAUAUUAAGCUCCUACAAUGCACCAUAUCAUUUGAGGUUGAGGUGCCACUAUACCGCCAUGGUUCCAGAUAAUAGGAACUUUUGCCAUACUUCUUAUCAUUUCUGCCAUCUGACCGUUUUGUUCAGAUCAGCUGAACAUAGUGUGGCCGUGGCAUGUAGACUGAGAGGUGCAGUUUAAGCUAAACAUCCCCUUAGGGGACCAAUUAAUAAUGAUUCCAUAGAAAUUGUUGUGCAGCACCUCUGCCUGUUCCGCAAUGCAAUCUUCCUAAACAAGUACGUUCAUUUUUUCUAACUGGGUCCGAUCCUGUUUACAAAUAGGUUUUUGAGGGCGGUAUGCCUCAAUUAUAGGAGCAGAUUUAUUACGGUAAAUACUGAGAUUAGAAAGCAUGUGUAACUGUGUCAUAGAGUGAUUGCAUCCAGGCAUUAUUACCAGUCAAGAUUGAUAAAUAUGCCCAGUAAGUAUAAUCAUUCUCUGUGUCAGCCCUUAUUGAAGGAAUACUCAAGGUAGUGGUGAUAACUGCUGUCAUAGCUACCAUUAAAUUAUUCAUUGUGACUGGUUGUCCCGCUUUCCUCAGGUUUUCUUCCGCCAUCUGUGACAGCUUCUUGAUCUGUCCCCAGGUGGGUGGCUGUGUUCGAUGGGUGUUGCUCGUGACAGUUGGGGUCCUCCUCAGCGUCAGUCUCUACAUGGCUGCAACCGGGGAGUCCUUGGGAUCCUCUCAGAGUCUCUUCCUCAGCAUCUGGCUCAUGAUAAGGUUUCAGGUGUCUUGAUAGUACCCAAAUCGGCUAUUGAUUUUGGUCUAGAGAAACACAAGCAUAAUCUCUACUCCAAGUUAUUAUUUUACCUAUUUCCCAACUUUUUGUUACUGAAUAUCUCCACCAAAUCAGUUGUUCUGCUUCUUUCUUUGCAGCUGGUUUCUGUAGAUGCUGUUCAGUUGCUGAUAACAUCUGGCCUUUGGGCAGGUUCAAAACAUUUAAUGUUAAUAAUGCUACGUUCAGUUGUAUCUGUGGGGUUCCAUAUUCUCUAUUUCCCCCUUUCUGCUUUUGCAACUGCUGUUUUAGGGAAAGAUUCAUUCUUUCCACUAUGGCUUGUCCUUGAAUUGUAUGGGAUAUCAGUAAUGUGUUUAAUAUUCCACAUAGAGAAAAAUGUAGCUAGAGCUUGGCUAGUAUAGCCUGGGGCAUUAUCUGUUUUAAUAGAAGCUGGAAUGCCCAUCACUGCAAAACACUGCAAAAGAUGACGUUUAACACAAGCAGAAGACUCUCCUGUUGGCAUGUAGCCCAGACAAAGUGAGAAAAGGUGUCCACACAUACAUGUGGGCACCAAACGAGGGAAUAUGUGUGACAUCUAUUUGCCAAAGAGAGUUAGGUUCCAAUCCUUGAGGAUUAAAUCCUCCUGUAAAAGAUGAGGAAUGUACCAUUUGGCAAGUUGGCAUCGCUGGAUAAUAGCUUUAGCUUCUUUCCAGGUAAUGCUGUAUCUGUGUUUGAGGCCAGAGGCAUUAACAUGGGUUAAAUUGUGAAAGUGUCUAGCAUUAGAUAUUGCAUUAGCAACUAGGCGAUCAGCCAUUUGAUUCCCUUCAAUCAAAGGUCUUGGAAGAGGUGUAUGAGCCCUAAUGUGAGUGAUGUAAAAAGGGUGCAUUCUACUUCUAACUGCUGUUUGCAACUGGGUAAAUAAAGUAAUCAGUUGUUCAUCUGU